ensembl:lncRNA
UCAGACUCAUCUGUGCUCUAAUGUUUGAGAGUGAUCUUUUCUCCGGUGGGAUGCUGGCAUUUGUCCUUCCCUGGAUAAGCCCUAGAUAAUGUUCAGCUUAAAAAAAAAAAAAAUAGCAACCACCUUUCUUUGUAUUUUCCCAGUGCACCUUUCUUCUUCUUAAGCUUAAAUAUAAUGAACAUAAACCCAUUUGGAAAUAAAAUUGUGCACUCGGUUAACUAAAAAAAAGUAAUUACAUUAUAAUCAAGCUGUCACUUCGUGAGAUAGUGGGAGAUGAAAUACACCAUAAACUGACAAAAGACGAGGAUGGUUUUCUCUUCUGAACAUCAUUCACAGCACAAAGCAGUGUAGAAAUUCUGAAUGACAAACAGCGUAACCAAGGAACCUCUUGGAGCUGGGGAAAGGGCCACGGCACAAGGUCUAGAAAAACAGAUUGGCUUUCGUGUAGUGGAAUAAGGGAGCCUUAAACUGUGUGCAGAGCAAUGCGUAUGUAGGCUACUACUGUCCAUAGUCUGACAGCCCACCAGUACUGGAACAAAGGAUUAGAAACACUCAUCUUGAUUAGGAAAUAAACUGAAAGUAUGCAUCCUGCUUAGCAUGGAUGUCCCAUCUCUGUAGCUGUGGUGAUUUUCAAGGCAGAAUUAUCAGCCUUGGUUUCUUCACCUGAAGCCCUUAUGCCCUACCAAGCUGCCAGCAUGUAUUCAGCAGCUAAAUGGGCAGGUGAAUCAAGAUGAUCUGAAUGUGUGAGGGAUUGCUUUAUUCUUUGUUCUUGUCCUGCUCAUUCUUGGUACACUCGCACUGCACAUUGCCUUAGUACGAAUGGAAAUGCCUUGGUGUGAGGGGCAUUCUCAGUCCUGAGCAAUAAGAAGUAUGGGUAGCCCCUGGUUAGAUGACAGCACUCAGGUGGGAGAAAUUUUCCUCACUUCUCCUGGUCCUUGACAUGUGAGCUGCUUUCCUAUUGUGGAAUAAAGUCUUUUUUCCCCUCCCGAUGCAGUUUCUUUGAGAUGUGAGUCUGUUCCCUGCUAUCCUUUCUCUGCAGCACUGCAUCCUUUAUAUAGGUGUUCCUGUUAAUGGCCACUGAUCUGAAGUUUGAGAGCAAGCUGAUGGUAAACUGAGGGCACAAAUGUGUGGGGAGACAGAAAGAAGCUGGGAAUGUGCUUUUGGAUGCCCUCCUUGCCUUUUCAGAAGGGGUCAGGGAGUCUGCUCUCAUGGAUGGAUGGAAGAUGGCGUCAGGAUAGCCUCUCUUCUGCCAGUUACACAUCAAAUAGAGGAGAACUUGUUUGCACAGGGCCUUUCUUCUGAGAUAAAUGGUAACAUACUGGGAGGACCGUGCUGUGGAAGCGGUGAAGCUGAUACCUUUGUUCAGCGUCUUGCUUUUCUCUUUUCAUGCUAUGCAUACGGCUACAGAGCAGCACAACAUGCUGUGCUGUCCAUGCACAGCGUUAUCCACUGUUCGGUGGGUAAGGCACACUUUGUGUAUUCAUGUCACAUCUCUGGCAGGGCACUGAGAGCUUCAGAAAAACAGGAGCUGAAGGAGCUCACUGGAGACAUUUCAGUAGGACAGCUUGCUUUUUCAGAUUUUAAGCUGUAAUUUGUUUAAGUGUAAUUAAUUUUGUUUUUCUGAGAAGAGCAGAAGGAUUUCAGUUCCAAGGAACUGAACAUGAAAUGAAGUGCCACAAAAAUAAAUAAAUAGAUGG